GACAGAGGAUGCAAGCGUUAUCCGGAAUGAUUGGGCGUAAAGCAUCUGUAGGUGGAUUUUUAAGUCCGCCGUCAAAUCCCAGGGCUCAAUCCUGGACAGGCGGUGGAAACUACCAAGCUGGAGUACGGUAGGGGCAGAGGGAAUUUCUGGUGGAGCGAUAAAAUGCGUAGAGAUCGGAAAGAACACCAAUGGCGAAAGCACUCUGUUGGGACGACACUGACACUGAGAGACGAAAGCUAGGGGAGCGAAU
rnacentral:rRNA from 1 species